CUGAUCAGCCAUGCCGCGUGAGUGAUGACGGCCUUCGGGUUGUAAAGCUCUUUUUUCCGGGAAGAAAACGUCCGGACCCGUAG
rnacentral:rRNA from 1 species